GACGAACGCUGGCGGCGUGCUUAACACAUGCAAGUCGAACGGAAAGGCCCUGCUUUUGUGGGGUGCUCGAGUGGCGAACGGGUGAGUAACACGUGAGUAACCUGCCCUUGACUUUGGGAUAACUUCAGGAAACUGGGGCUAAUACCGGAUAGGAGCUCCUGCUGCAUGGUGGGGGUUGGAAAGUUUCGGCGGUUGGGGAUGGACUCGCGGCUUAUCAGCUUGUUGGUGGGGUAGUGGCUUACCAAGGCUUUGACGGGUAGCCGGCCUGAGAGGGUGACCGGCCCCAUUGGGACUGAGCUACGGCCCAGACUCCUACGGGAGGCAGCAGUGGGGAAUAUUGCACAAUGGGCUGAAGCCUGAUGCAACAACGCCGCGUGCGGGAUGACGGCCUUCGGGUUGUAAACCGCUUUCGCCUGUGACGAAGCGUGAGUGACGGUAAUGGGUAAAGAAGCACCGGCUAACUACGUG
rnacentral:rRNA from 1 species